CGGUGACGAGGAGCUUGCUCCUCUGAUCAGUGGCGAACGGGUGAGUAACACGUGAGCAACCUGCCCCAGACUCUGGGAUAACAGUUGGAAACAGCUGCUAAUACCGGAUACGAGACGGAGAGGCAUCUCUACCGUCUGGAAAGUUUUUCGGUCUGGGAUGGACUCGCGGCCUAUCAGCUAGUUGGUGGGGUAAUGGCUCACCAAGGCGACGGCGGGUAGCCGGCCUGAGAGGGCGACCGGCCACACUGGGACUGAGACACGGCCCAGACUCCUACGGGAGGCAGCAGUGGGGAAUAUUGCACAAUGGGCGAAAGCCUGAUGCAGCGACGCCGCGUGAGGGAUGACGGCCUUCGGGUUGUAAACCUCUUUCAGCAGGGAAGAAGCGAAAGUGACGGUACCUGCAGAAGAAGCACCGGCUAACUACGUGCCAGCAGCCGCGGUAAUACGUAGGGUGCGAGCGUUGUCCGGAAUUAUUGGGCGUAAAGAGCUUGUAGGCGGUUUGUCGCGUCUGCAGUGAAAAUCCGAGGCUCAACCUCGGACUUGCUGUGGGGUACCGGGCAGACUAGAGUAUGGUAGGGGAGACCGGAAUUCCUGGUGUAGCGGUGGAAUGCGCAGAUAUC
rnacentral:rRNA from 1 species